UUUUUUUUUCCCCCUAGCCCUGUCAGUGUGAAAACGAACAGGCAGUUCCUUCUGACUCCGUGGAAGGUUACCUUGUUCCUGAUGAGGAAAUAUCAAACAGGAUCACAAGGGAUCCUGCAGCCAGCUCUCCUGAUGGUCAGUGCCUUUCACCAGGUGCUUUCGAGAACAAGAAACUCUUCAGUGAGAUGUCUCGAAGUUGCUUCCCUGCUUAAAGGCCUGAUCAGGAGACAGCUGGAACCAAUGGGUAUCUUAUGUUAAACUCAGCGGGGUGAGUCAGGACCUCCAGCUGC
rnacentral:lncRNA from 1 species